rnacentral:tRNA from 1 species
GUGGGCAUAGCUCAGUGGUAGAGUACAUGCUUAGCAUACAUGAGGUCCUCAGUUCAAUCCCCAGUACCUCCA